rnacentral:rRNA from 1 species
UUCAGAGGGUGCAAGCGUUGUUCGGAAUUAUUGGGCGUAAAGCGCGUGUAGGCGGCUACCUAAGUCGGAUGUGAAAGCCCCUGGCUUAACCGGGGAAGUGCACCCGAAACUGGGUAGCUAGAGUGCAAAAGAGGGUCGCGGAAUUCCCAGUGUAGAGGUGAAAUUCGUAGAUAUUGGGAGGAACACCGGUGGCGAAGGCGGCGACCUGGGUUGACACUGACGCUGAGGCGCGAAAGCGUGGGGAGCAAACAGG